ensembl:snoRNA
AAGCAAUACUCUGUGGCAGAUAAUCAAAACCAACACAAUUUGAACUUGCUAUAGCAAGAAAGUCUAACCUCUUCUGGUGUUCUUUCCCAUGAGAAAAGCCAUUACAUAGACUUAAACAGU